AACUAAACCUGAUGGCAGCGGCAGCCCUGAAGUAUGAGGGCUAAAGCAUACAGCAGGACAGGAC
rnacentral:sRNA from 1 species